UACAGAGGGUGCAAGCGUUAAUCGGAAUUACUGGGCGUAAAGCGUGCGUAGACGGUUACAUAAGUCGGGUGUGAAAGCCCCGGGCUCAACCUGGGAAUUGCAUUCGAGACUGCGUAGCUAGGGUGCGGAAGAGGGAAGCGGAAUUUCCGGUGUAGCGGUGAAAUGCGUAGAUAUCGGAAGGAACACCAGUGGCGAAAGCGGCUUCCUGGUCCAGCACCGACGUUCAGGCACGAAAGCCAGGGGAGCAAACGGG
rnacentral:rRNA from 1 species